CCUACGGGUGGCUGCAGUGGGGAAUAUUGGACAAUGGGCGAAAGCCUGAUCCAGCCAUGCCGCGUGUGUGAAGAAGGCCUUCGGGUUGUAAAGCACUUUCAGUGGGGAAGAAAGCCUUGGGGCUAAUACCCUCGAGGAAGGACAUCACCCACAGAAGAAGCACCGGCUAACUCCGUGCCAGCAGCCGCGGUAAUACGGAGGGUGCGAGCGUUAAUCGGAAUUACUGGGCGUAAAGCGCGCGUAGGCGGUCUGAUAAGCCGGUUGUGAAAGCCCCGGGCUCAACCUGGGAACGGCAUCCGGAACUGUCAGGCUAGAGUGCAGGAGAGGAAGGUAGAAUUCCCGGUGUAGCGGUGAAAUGCAUAGAGAUCGGGAGGAAUACCAGUGGCGAAGGCGGCCUUCUGGACUGACACUGACGCUGAGGUGCGAAAGCGUGGGUAGCAAACAGGAUUAGAUACCCUUGUAGUC
rnacentral:rRNA from 1 species